AUUGAACGCUGGCGGCAGGCUUAACACAUGCAAGUCGAGCGGAGAUGAGGUGCUUGCACCUUAUCUUAGCGGCGGACGGGUGAGUAAUGCUUAGGAAUCUGCCUAUUAGUGGGGGGCAACAUUCCGAAAGGAAUGCUAAUACCGCAUACGUCCUACGGGAGAAAGCAGGGGAUCUUCGGACCUUGCGCUAAUAGAUGAGCCUAAGUCGGAUUUGCUAGUUGGUGGGGUAAAGGCCUACCAAGGCGACGAUCUGUAGCGGGUCUGAGAGGAUGAUCCGCCAAACUGGGACGGAGACACGGCCCAGACUCCUACGGGAGGCAGCAGUGGGGAAUAUUGGACAAUGGGGGGAACCCUGAUCCAGCCAUGCCGCGUGUGUGAAGAAGGCCUUAUGGUUGUAAAGCACUUUAAGCGAGGAGGAGGCUACUGAGACUAAUACUCUUGGAUAGUGGACGUUACUCGCAGAAUAAGCACCGGCUAACUCUGUGCCAGCCGCCGCGGUAACAC
rnacentral:rRNA from 1 species